rnacentral:ncRNA from 1 species
CACUGCCAAAGGCACACCCGUUGAAAGGCGGGGUCGCAAAGCUUCCGGUCUAACGGCAACGUCCACACGUUGCCCACGACAGCGGGGCCGCCAGA